GGCACGUGGAAAACCUAAUUUUUAAUGUUUUCUUUCAGAAUAGAAUUUCCCGUCACUCAGGCUUGGGCGUGCGAUUCGCACCCGAUGACGUGACGUCACUGGAGGCGGAGGCUGACGUCAUGCGUAGGAGCGUGGACAAGGACUCAACUUCAACUUCAGCUGUUAGGGUUCCAUGUUGUGACGCGCGGCAUCCCGCGGCUCGGCUCGGAUGUCACUCGGCGACGGGACACCGCCCGCAUGUCAGGCUCCCGCCAGUGGAAAGGGAAAUUCAACCGGGAGGGGGAUUUUUCGGGCGAGGUCUAGGAGUAGAGACGCGCAGCACUAUUUCGGGUUAACCCUCAUACGCGCGCCCCAGCAGGGAACGUCCCCCGGCCACCUGCCUCGUGAUCAUACUUCGUUUGGCCGGCAGAACGUGAGAGGCUAGGACCACCGCUUUUGCAUCAGCAUUCUUUGCCCAAUUUCCAUCAGCACUCUUAAUGGGAAGGCUAAGUUCAUGAGGACGUUUCAGGAACUUAGUAGCCUUCCAUAGCGUAUAGUCGUCAACCUCCCUGGCCCCAAGAUUGGACAGGAAACUUUCAAAUCUCUCAUUCCUAUAUUGAUUAAUUCUAUUUUGAACAAUCUUAUUUAUGCGAUUAUACUCUCUCUUAUCUUCUCCAUAUCUAGUGGUUAUCAUUUUCUUCCUUGCUUUUCUUUUUUUACAAAUUAAUUCAACUAUUUCAGAUGGUAGUUUGAGCUGGUCGCAUCUCAAAUUCAGGUUGCGAGCCACAGGAGUACUGGCUUUAGCUGCUUCCUGAAUUUGCAAGGUCAAAAGUUCAAUUUUCCUGUCCAAUUCUUGAGGCGUGUCUAUCUUAGUGUCGUUACAGAUCUGGGCACCAAGAAUUUCACGGAAUUUUUCCCAGUUAGUUUUGGGUGAGAUUAAACAAGGGGGUUUUUUUCUAAGGACUGGGUGGGUAAAAAUACUUAGGAGGACUGGCUCGUGAUCAAUUUUCCUCUCGAUAUUGUCACACUGGGUUCUGUCCAUUAGAGGGAGAUUAUUAUAGAUGAAAAAAUCUAUAGAAUCGGGAUCUUUUAGUGGAUUGCUCGGGUAGAAAGUGGGUUUUCCCGAGCAGAUGAAAUUACCACCUAUUUUGUUAACUGCAUUAACCAGUCGUACUCCUUUAGUGUUAUCGGAUCUUGCUGCCCACCUGGAGUUUUUACAAUUAAAGUCCCCGCCCACUAGGAAUCUAGGGCCGAGCUUUUUCAAAAAUGUGGAGUAAAUCUCUUCCGUGCAUUUAACACGAGGUGGAGAGUAAACAGCAGCUAUAUUGAAGUGGCCCAGACCUGUAACGACCUCGAUUACGACACACUGGAAUGCAUCCUCCUCGAUAAUAUCAAUCAAUGAGUGACGGAUGCUUUUUCUUAUAAUUACAGCGGCCCCCCCUCUUGCCUUGGCUUCGGUUCCUGGGUGCAAUGCAGAAUAAAUAUUAAAGCCUUGUAUGAAACGCUUAUCUUUCUUCUGAAAGUGUGAUUCAGAGAUUAGCGCUAUGUCAAUAUUUAAAUUAAGUAAAGAGUGACCGAACUCAAGGCUUUUGGCAUGAGUUAGGCCAUUAGCAUUCCAUAAUAGGAUAUUGAGGAUGGAAUCAUUAGUACUCAUUAUUUUUUGGAAAUAUUUUUUUGGAAAAGGGUUUCCAAUUUUUCCAUUUUCUGAGUUAAAGUCUCAA
rnacentral:lncRNA from 1 species